UACGUAGGGUGCGAGCGUUGUCCGGAAUUAUUGGGCGUAAAGAGCUCGUAGGCGGCUUGGCAAGUCGGGUGUGAAACCUCCAGGCUCAACCUGGAGACGCCACUCGAUACUGCCAUGGCUAGAGUCCGGUAGGGGACCACGGAAUUCCUGGUGUAGCGGUGAAAUGCGCAGAUAUCAGGAAGAACACCCGUGGCGAAGGCGGUUCUCUGGGACGGUACUGACGCUGAGACGCGAAAGCGUGGGGAGCGAACAGG
rnacentral:rRNA from 1 species